GGUAUUAGUGGCCAUGUGGUAAGGCAUCGGUCUUGUAAACCGAAGAUCCAGGGUUCAAACCCCUACUGGGCCU